AUAUCUGAUAUGUGGACUAUGUGCCUACUUCGAUAUUAAAUUUAUUUUUUGUGGUGGAGGGCUCACCACAGUGGCUUGCCACUGGGACCCUCACGCGUCGCCCAGGCGUUGCACUGCUGCCUAGGCCUGGCGCACCCCAA
rnacentral:snRNA from 1 species